UCGCUCUAAGAGGAGCCUGCGUUGGAUUAGCUAGUUGGUGGGGUAAAGGCCUACCAAGGCUACGAUCUAUAGCUGGUCUGAGAGGAUGAUCAGCCACAAUGGGACUGAGACACGGCCCAUACUCCUACGGGAGGCAGCAGUAGGGAAUCUUGCGCAAUGGACGAGAGUCUGACGCAGCAAUACCGUGUGUGGGAAGACGCUCUGUGGAGUGUAAACCACUGUCAGAUGGGACGAAAUAAAUGACUGUACCAUCAAAGGAAGCACCGGCUAACUCUGUGCCAGCAGCCGCGGUAAUACAGAGGGUGCAAGCGUUGUCCGGAUUUAUUGGGCGUAAAGCGUCUGUAGGCGGUUUACCAAGUCCGAAGUGAAAUAAUGGGGCUUAACUCCAUAUCCGCUUUGGAAACUGGUAGACUAGAGACUGUUAGAGGUGAAUGGAAUUUCCAGUGUAGCGGUGAAAUGCGUAGAUAUUGGAAGGAACACCAGAGGCGAAGGCGGUUCACUGGGACUGUUCUGACGCUGAGAGACGAAAGCUAGGGGAGCGAAAGGGAUUAGAU
rnacentral:rRNA from 1 species